rnacentral:misc_RNA from 1 species
UUUCCGUAGGUGAACCUGCGGAAGGAUCAUUACCACGUGUGGACCUCUCAACCACGCCCGUUCAACCCGUGCUUUUCUCACCUUGUUCCUUUUGCAAACCAGCCUCCAUAAGAAGCGCCCCGAAGCUAGCCGCCUUGGGCCGGUUCCCGUCUGGCGCCCCUUCUCGUCUUUCAUUUUCCUGUCGCCCGAACUACUGCUGCAGUGCGAUUAACACUUUCAACAACUGACCUCUUGGUAUUUGCAUCGAUGAAGAUCUGAACAGUUCGGAAGAGACCACAU